GGUUUUUUCUUGCAGUGGUGUUUACAACUAACUGAUCACAGCCAGUUACAGAUGUCUUUGUUCCUUCUCCACUACUCUGCUUCACUUGACCAGCCUUAA
rnacentral:sRNA from 1 species